rnacentral:tRNA from 1 species
GGGGCUGUGGCUCAGUCGUAGAGCAUUUGCCUAGCACGCACCAGGCACUGGGUUCAAUCCUCAGCACCACA